CAGUAGCCGCGGUAAUACGAAGGGGGCUAGCGCUGCUCGGAAUGACUGGGCGUAAAGGGCGCGUAGGCGGAUGGCACAGUCAGAUGUGAAAUUCCCGGGCUUAACCUGGGGGCUGCAUUUGAUACGUGUUGUCUAGAGUGAGGAAGAGGGUUGUGGAAUUCCCAGUGUAGAGGUGAAAUUCGUAGAUAUUGGGAAGAACACCGGUGGCGAAGGCGGCAACCUGGUCCUUGACUGACGCUGAGGCGCGAAGGCGUGGGGAGCAAACAGGAUUAGAGACCCCUGUAGUCCCUGUCUCUUAUAC
rnacentral:rRNA from 1 species